rnacentral:lncRNA from 10 species
UAGACCAAAGCAAUAUACUUCUUAGAUAUAUUGAUUGAUGUCUCAUGUUUCUCUGAAAUGUAUAAAACCAAGCUGUGCCCUGACCACCUUGGGCACAUGUCAUCAUGACCCUGAGGCUGUGUCACAAGUGUGUUCUCAACCUUGGCAAAAUAAACUUUCUAAAUUAACUGAGACCUUCAUUUGAGUGUGCUGCUGGACACCCUCAUUGUGUUUCUCCAUCUUGCUGGUAGUGAACUGAUGUCCGGAAGUUUGAUGGCCGAAGAGUAUACCGUUGUGCAUAUAUCCUUCAAUUCCUGAUUUUAUCAUCUGUAGAAAGACAAAAAUCUUCAGACUGAUUUCCACAG